CCCCCUAAAUGCCCAAGGACUGCUGUUUAAGAAUGUGUUUUGUAGCAUCUGGUGCAUUUUACCAAGAGGGACUGAAAUGAAUUCUGAUACACAUGUAGGAUGGCCUGUUUUGGUAGAUGCAUGGGAAAAAGCAUGAAGAAUUUCCACCAACCUAUGAACUGACAUAUUCAACUCUGAGAGAACUUCCAGGUAAACAUGGUCGGCUACUCAUGUGUUAUCUCCACACCCCCAAGCAACAUGAACUGCGCCAUCACUGACUUCUAAAGAUGAUAAAUCCUCCCACCGAAGGGCACGUAGUUUUGGAAGAUGGACACAGAAGGGCUGACAGCUAACACAGCCUCCAGUGUUCCCUGCUCCACUGAGCAUCCUCAGAGGGAG
rnacentral:lncRNA from 1 species